AGUGAACGCUGGCGGUAGGCCUAACACAUGCAAGUCGAACGGCAGCACAGUAAGAGCUUGCUCUUACGGGUGGCGAGUGGCGGACGGGUGAGGAAUACAUCGGAAUCUACUUUUUCGUGGGGGAUAACGUAGGGAAACUUACACUAAUACCGCAUACGACCUACGGGUGAAAGCAGGGGAUCUUCUGACCUUGCGCGAUUGAAUGAGCCGAUGUCGGAUUAGCUAGUUGGCGGGGUAAAGGCCCACCAAGGCGACGAUCCGUAGCUGGUCUGAGAGGAUGAUCAGCCACACUGGAACUGAGACACGGUCCAGACUCCUACGGGAGGCAGCAGUGGGGAAUAUUGGACAAUGGGCGCAAGCCUGAUCCAGCCAUACCGCGUGGGUGAAGAAGGCCUUCGGGUUGUAAAGCCCUUUUGUUGGGAAAGAAAAGCAGCAGGUUAAUACCCCGCUGUUCUGACGGUACCCAAAGAAUAAGCACCGGCUAACUUCGUG
rnacentral:rRNA from 1 species